rnacentral:rRNA from 1 species
AUUGAACGCUGGCGGCAUGCUUUACACAUGCAAGUCGAACGGUAACAGGCCGCAAGGUGCUGACGAGUGGCGAACGGGUGAGUAAUGCAUCGGAACGUGCCCAGUCGUGGGGGAUAACGCAGCGAAAGCUGCGCUAAUACCGCAUACGAUCUAUGGAUGAAAGCGGGGGACCGUAAGGCCUCGCGCGAUUGGAGCGGCCGAUGUCAGAUUAGGUAGUUGGUGGGGUAAAGGCUCACCAAGCCAACGAUCUGUAGCUGGUCUGAGAGGACGACCGGCAACACUGGGACUGAGACACGGCCCAGACUCCAACGGGAGGCAGCAGUGGGGAAUUUUGGACAAUGGGCGCAAGCCUGAUCCAGCAAUGCCGCGUGCAGGAAGAAGGCCUUCGGGUUGUAAACCGUUUUUGUCAGGGAAGAAACGAGUUUCUCUAAUACAGAGACUUAAUGACGGUACCUGAAGAAUAAGCACCGGCUAACUACGUGCCAGCAGCCGCCGUAACAC